GCCGGAUUAGCUCAGUUGGUAGAGCGCCUGUCUUGUAAACAGGGGGUCAGCAGUUCGAGUCUGCUAUCCGGCU
rnacentral:tRNA from 1 species